AUUUAGAUAGCUUAAGUUUUAAAGCAUAAUAUUGAAGAUAUUAUUAUGGGUUUAUACCUCUAAAUA
rnacentral:tRNA from 1 species